rnacentral:rRNA from 1 species
UACGGAGGGUGCGAGCGUUAAUCGGAAUUACUGGGCGUAAAGGGUGCGUAGGUGGUUUAUUAAGUUAUCUGUGAAAUUCCUGGGCUCAACCUAGGGAGGUCAGAUAAUACUGAUGGACUCGAGUAUGGGAGAGGGUAGUGGAAUUUCCGGUGUAGCGGUGAAAUGCGUAGAGAUCGGAAGGAACACCAGUGGCGAAGGCGGCUACCUGGCCUAAUACUGACACUGAGGCACGAAAGCGUGGGGAGCAAACAGG